rnacentral:rRNA from 1 species
GAUGAACGCUGGCGACGUGCCUAAUACAUGCAAGUCGAGCGAACGGACGAGAAGCUUGCUUCUCUGAUGUUAGCGGCGGACGGGUGAGUAACACGUGGAUAACCUACCUAUAAGACUGGGAUAACUUCGGGAAACCGGAGCUAAUACCGGAUAAUAUUUUGAACCGCAUGGUUCAAAAGUGAAAGACGGUCUUGCUGUCACUUAUAGAUGGAUCCGCGCUGCAUUAGCUAGUUGGUAAGGUAACGGCUUACCAAGGCAACGAUGCAUAGCCGACCUGAGAGGGUGAUCGGCCACACCGGAACUGAGACACGGUCCAGACUCCUACGGGAGGCAGCGGUAGGGAAUCUUCCGCAAUGGGCGAAAGCCUGACGGAGCAACGCCGCGUGAGUGAUGAAGGUCUUCGGAUCGUAAAACUCUGUUAUUAGGGAAGAACAUAUGUGUAAGUAACUGUGCACAUCUUGACGGUACCUAAUCAGAAAGCCACGGCUAACUACGUG